rnacentral:rRNA from 1 species
UGGGGAAUAUUGCGCAAUGGGCGAAAGCCUGACGCAGCGACGCCGCGUGGGUGAUGAAGGCCUUCGGGUCGUAAAACCCUGUCGGGUGGAACGAAUUCCGCCUCGUUAAUACCGAGGCGGCUUGACGGUACCACCGAAGGAAGCCCCGGCUAACUACGUGCCAGCAGCCGCGGUAAUACGUAGGGGGCGAGCGUUGUUCGGAUUUACUGGGCGUAAAGAGCGCGUAGGCGGUUCGAUAAGUCGGAGGUGAAAUCCCUCGGCUCAACCGAGGACCCGCAGCCGAUACUGUCGAACUUGAGUGCAGGAGAGGAGAGCGGAAUUCCCAGUGUAGCGGUGAAAUGCGUAGAUAUUGGGAGGAACACCGGUGGCGAAGGCGGCUCUCUGGACUGUCACUGACGC